GUGUGCGUGCGUGCGUGCGUGCGUGCGCGUACACACUUGGUGUGUGUGUGUCUGUACUCGAUUUCUUGCAGAUAUACCUUUUUAAAAAAAAAAUGGAUUAAAAAAAUGAAGGGCUCUAUGGCAAUUAACAGUUUUAAGAAAACUAUGGAAAGAAUACUUAACAUAAAAUGUAUUGUGAUGGUCAUAUUUUCUUAUAUUCUGUGAGACGGGUGGGGCGGUGUAUAUUGGGAGGGCAAGGGACAUAAAACUUUUUCUUUCUUUACACUUUGUUCCUGGUUGCCAUGGAGAAUGUUUUGAAAAAGAAAUUGUGAUAUUUAACAAGAUUUCUUUUCCCCCCAAAAUGCCUCUGCUAAAAAAGGACAGCCUGCAAUGUCCCAGUGCGGUUAACAAGAACGAGACACUGACGUGCGGACGGAGGGGGAACGGGAAGCCGUACAGUGCCAAGUUAUGUAAAUAUACACACUUACAUUGAAGAGUGUCUCCAAAAGCAAUAUCUUGAAAAAUGGAUUUUGUUUAUUAUUGUACUGUGCAAGACUCAGCCCUAAAUGUAUUAUGAUUAUUAUAAUAUUAUAAUUUCUUCCGUUUGUAUUACUACAAUGAAGACACUUAAGCUUGGAGGGAAAUUAUUUUAUUUUGAGGUCCAUAAAAGCUUACCACAACUUUCCGAAUAACAUAGAAACUUAAGCUGAGUUUUCGUUGCCUAUUAAUGAAAUUCAUCGAUGUACUGCAUGAGCCAGAAGAAUGUCGAAUGGACACAGAAGACAUUGGGACAAGACAGUGACUCAGCGAAGACACCUUUGUCACUGAAUAUUGUUAAUAAUAUUACUUUUUAAGGGGAAACUUACCCCUUGUUUUGCUGCAAAGUGUUGAACACUAAAAAAACAAACCAACAUAAAAAUGUUAUGAUAUUUUUAAAACGUUGACGGAAACAAAAAUAUAGCUGUCAAUCCAAUAUCACGUUAUUCCUUUUGUUUUAUUUUUGAAAUAGGAAAUGGUUUUUGUUUUGUGAUAGCAGUCAUUGUAUGAUGUUUGUGUGAUUUGUUUAGUUAUUUUUAGACAAUCACAAAAUAAGAUGCAAGCAUUGUAAAUGGCAGACUGGCGGACAUUUUGUGAUGUGUACAGUUUGUCAAAAUACUUCUUCCACUCGUUAAACGUUUGUAAUUAUGAUUAUUAAGUCAUGAGAAAUGCUGUUGGUUUUUACUUUUUGUUUUAUAUUUGUUUUUUUUUAAUAAAAAAGCACUACAUUAUUGUGAAUACAAUCUGUCGUUGGGCUUUUAAUAUUCUUUAGAUUGCAAAAUAAGAAGGCUGGAACUCUGAUUAUAAACCUUAUGUGGUAUUUCAGAAAAAAAAGUAUAAUUAUAUUCUAAAAUUCAGCUAUGAUGAAGAAUGAGCGUUAACCAUCAUGAGAGUUAGACAUCAUGCAAGAACUAUCUAUCAGUAUAAUUAUUAUAUUGAUAAUAAUAAUGGCAACAAUCACCUUCUAAAAGUUACAAAUUUGAUUACGAAAAUAAUUAUAUGAUUAAUAAACCCACCACUGCAACAUAUUAUUGAAAUAAUGAAUUGAUAAACUACCACUAGUUAAAUGAAAGAUUAUUCCCAAAUGUGUCAGUAUCAAUUUGGCGGGACAAACCACCUUUUGAAAAAAUAAAAAUGUAAUAAUAAAUCUACGUUGUGAUGAACUGUAAUUAGCAGCAACUCGUAAUAUUAUUGGGCACGUGGUUAAACAACACUUUACCGUGAUUGUUGAUGUGUUCAACACCUUUACUUACGUAAAGGACACAUAACGUUUCCCCAAAAAGAAAAUCUUAACAAACUGGGAUUUCCAAACAACCUCAAAGUAAAAUCCCCAAAAGUCUCGCGAUGCUUCCGAUUGGCUUCAGUCGGUUACCGUAGUAACGCCAAUGACGCCGAGGAGUUUCCUUUUUCUAUUGUAGGGUUACAGCGACGUUAGCAAACGUAUCUACACCUGUUUGAUUAACCACGAUUUGACUUGGAGAAACAACAAUGUCUAAAACAGACCAGGCAGAGGCCUCUAAAGACGCAGGACAUACUCCAAAUGAAGAAUUGCCUGCUGGGAUCUUUGACGGAUAUCAGUGCUCAGGCAAUGUGGAGACUGACUUCCGUGAGCUUUGUGCUCUUCUGGACAUGAAGAAUAUCCCAAACGUCACUUGCACCACUGAAGUUGACGAAGUG